UACGGAGGGUGCAAGCGUUAUCCGGAUUUACUGGGUUUAAAGGGUGCGCAGGCGGAUAUGUAAGUCAGUGGUGAAAUCUCCGGGCUUAACCCGGAAACUGCCGUUGAUACUAUAUAUCUUGAAUGCUGUGGAGGUAAGCAGAAUAUGUCAUGUAGCGGUGAAAUGCUUAGAGAUGACAUAGAACACCAAUUGCGAAGGCAGCUCACUACGCGAAUAUUGACACUGAGGCACGAAAGCGUGGGGAUCAAACAGG
rnacentral:rRNA from 1 species